rnacentral:rRNA from 1 species
GACAGAGGCCUCAAGCGUUAAGCGGAAUCACUGGGCUUAAAGCGUGUGUAGGCGGAUCGUUAAGUGUCUUGUGAAAUCCCACGGCUCACCCGUGGAACGGCUGGGCAUACUGGCGAUCUUGGGCCAACUAGGGGCAACUGGAACAAGCGGUGGAGCGGUGAAAUGCGUAGAUAUCGCUUGGAACGCCGAAGGUGAAAACAGGUUGCUGGGGUUGUGCCGACGCUGAGACACGAAAGCCAGGGGAGCAAACGGG